GGCCGGAGGUCGGCCGCGGCGCUGGCGGACUGAGCAGGCUGCGGCCUGCACUUCCCGCCGUAGUCUUCGCCGGGCUCGCGGCCUCCUUGGGUCCCGCUGCCGGUGCUGGCCCCGCGGGGAGGCCUCCAUACCCCACUCCCAGUGAUGGCGCCCGUGGAGGCCACGGCGCGCAGCCCGCGCUUAGGCCGGAGGUGCUCUCGCGGCCUCAGCGUUCCUCCUCUGCUGCCCUUCCAGGCCCGCAUGGUGCGGACUCCCAGGGCCUCUCUCCAGUCUGGAACUGCCGCUGCGCUUGAAGGCCAUUGUCCGGCCAGGAUGGCGGGGUUGGGUCCGUGGGGGGCGCUGGGGCGUUGGACGGCCCCUUCGACAAGAGAUCGAAAGGGCUUCUCGCCCCAUUCCUGUUCCCUCCUCCCACACCUGCCCUAGCUCCCUCCACAAAACCGCCUGAGUUCAGGCAGACGGAGGAAGCCGUUUUGCCCGAUCCACAAGUAUCUCUUGAGUUCACUUACCUCUUGGGUGGCAGCACACAUCGGUCCAUCCUACUUGUUCAGAAACUGUUAAGAGUUGGAAGUUCAGAAAGAAAAAACAAACAAAAACCUUGACUUAUGAAGGAGGAGGGAAGUAGAGGGAGAAUCAUUUUAUUUCUUGAGGUUGCUAUACGUAGUUAGAAACUAACACUUCCGUUUUGCAGGAUUGGAUCUAAUAGAAAAGCUGUACAUUGGCAAAGGUAGAGGAAGAAACCUGAACAUUGAAAAUCACCAGAUAAAUACCUAACACAUGUGAUUCAGUGUUUGCCAACAACGUUCAGUGAAUGCCAAUAUCAGGUGGUGUGGCAAAAAAAAAAAAAAAAAAAUAGUGGAAUUUUGGAGCAGUUGUAGCCUUAGGCAAGUCACUUUGUAAAUUUUCUGGAGUCUCAGUUUCCCUGUCUGUAGAAUGGAAAUUAUACCCUGCAAGCCUGUGGGGAAGAUUAUAAAGAAGAGGGCUUAGCACUUAUGGACUACAUAAAAGAUAGUUUUGUUAUUUUUUACAAAUGUGCUUGGCAGUUUUAUUCACUAUACCCAAAAUCUAGAAACAGCUCAAAUAUCCAUUAGUAGCUGAAUAUAUAAACAAAAUGUAGAAAAUGCAUACACUGAAGCAUUACCUACCAAUAAAAAGGAAGAAUAGUGAAACACCUCUGCCACUUAGCAGUCUAUUAGUCAACUCCAAGUUCACCCUCCAGUACUUGCCCUGCUUUGAUUAAAUAACUUCUGAAGUAUAUAUUUGAGCUGGUGAAGAACUGGACUCUCUUGACCUUUGCAGUGAACAAUAUGUUGGACUUUGUCAAUAGAGGGCACUAGAGUAACACAACAGAGAGAAGGGGCUUCUUGGAUUUGGACUUUUUUUUUUUUUUUUUUUCCUUAAGGUUUUUAAAUAUUGUCAUGGUGUCCUGACUUGGUAAUAAUGUUGA